rnacentral:rRNA from 1 species
GAUGAACGCUGGCGGCGUGCCUAAUACAUGCAAGUCGAGCGAACAGACGAGGAUCUUGCUCCUCUGACGUUAGCGGCGGACGGGUGAGUAACACGUGGAUAACCUACCUAUAAGACUUGGAUAACUUCGUGAAACCGGAUCUAAUACCGGAUAAUAUAUUUAACCGCAUUGUUCUUUAGUUCUAUACGGUUUUUCUGUCUCUUAUAGAUGUUUCCGCGCCGCAUUAGCUAGUUGGUAAGGUAACGGCUUACCAAGGCAACGAUGCGUAGCCGACCUGAGAGGGGGAUAGGCGACACGGGAACUGAGACACGGACCAGAGUACUACGGGAGGAAGAAGUAGGGAAUGUUACGCAAUGGGCGAAAGCAUGACGGAGCAACGCCGCGUGAGUGAAGAAGGUGUAAGGAUCGUAAAACUCUGUUAUUAGGGAAGAAAAAAUGUGAAAGUAAAUAUGCACGUAUUGACGGUACCUAAAAAGAAAGCAACGGCUAACUACGUG